AGCUACUUGAAGGGAAUUUUGCCAAAGAAGUCAGCCAUGAAAUGGAUGGACUUAUUUUUCAGCCUAUUGGAAAAUAUAAACCUGGUCGAUGUGAUGAUAUUUUGAAAUGGAAACCUCCCAGUCUGAAUUCUGUGGAUUUUCGCCUAAAGAUAACAAGAAUGGGAGGAGAAGGGUGCCAGUAACCAUAGGAGGCACCAUAACCUUGAAUGAAGAAGCUCUCUUCAGCUGUUGACAAUUCCCAGAGAAUGACUCAACUGUGAGCUGUCAACAUGGAGUACAUCUGAUACCUGGAGAGAUAAGUACCUCCUUUCUGGAGAGGAGGUAUCUGGUAGCCAACCACAGCAUUCAGUACUUUUGUCACAUAGUAGCUUUUUAUUUCUUAGUGGCACAUAACAUAAUUGUGGCUCUUAAAAUCAAUAGCCUCUUAGAGUCAAUGAAACAUGGUACUUUCAAGAAAGAUUUAAAGGUUGUAGUGAUAAAAUCUACUUAAGAAGUCAGAAUUAAAGAUCGGUCAGGUUUAUCUUAGCCAUGUAAAAAGUUGUAAACUUGCUUUCAGUCAUUCAAUAAAAAAUUGUUUUGACUAAUUGCCACAUAUCAGAUCCUAUUUUAGGAGCAGUGAGUAGUAAAGAGAAAGUCCCUGCUAUCAUAGAUCUUAACAUUCCAGUGGAGAAAGACCAAAUAAGCAAAUAAAUAUGUUAUAUGUCAGGUGUUCUGAGACUUUCAUAGCUGUGUAUAAGUUGAUAUUCACAUUAAGGUUGAUAUUGUCUUAAUAUGGCUCUAUGACCAAGAGAUUGUAAGGACAUGCUAACUUUCUUGAUCGAUGUUUCUUGAUUACGGUAUUAAUUACAUCACUAAAGAGUUUUCUGCUUCAGUUGUGGAAAUUGAUGAGUCUUUUACAGUUGAAUGUGUAAUAUGGUUUUGUUAUGUGUAAUAUGGUUCAUAAACUUGGAUUUUCUACAUGUUAUUACAUUUUGCAAUUUUUCUAAUUCCUGUCAUAAGGAACAUUAUUAUUAAAAAAAUGUUGUUUAAUUAUACAUGGGUAUGUGCUCAGUAUUGUUCACAGAAAAUUAGAGACACAGACUCUUUCCUGGAGUGUUAAACUGAUGGAAGGAUAACCCUAUAAGUAACAGUAUUUUAAAAUUUCAGUCA